GUUUCCGGUUGAUCCCGCCGGACCCCACUGCUAUCGGGAUAGGACUAAGACAUGCAAGUCAAGCGCUUUCUAGCUAAUGUGAGAGCGCGGCGUACAGCUCAGUAACACGUGGCCAACCUGCCCUUGGGACGGGAACACCCCCGGGAAACUGGGGUUAAUUCCCGAUAGGUGAAGAAGUCUGGAAUGACUCUUCGCUCAAAAGACGUUUAUGUCAUGCUCAUAUUCGUCGCCCAGGGAUGGGGCCGCGACCGAUCAGGUUGUUGGUGAGGCAAUGGCUCACCAAGCCUUUUACCGGUGCGGGCCGUGAGAGCGGGAGCCCGGAGAUGGGCACUGAGACAAAGGCCCAGGCCCCACGGGGCGCAGCAGUCGCGAAAAUUUUGCAAUACACGAAAGUGUGACAGAGCUAUCCCGAGUGCCAUCCGCUGAGGAAGGCUUUUACCCAGUAUAAAUAGCUGGGAGAAUAAGGAGAGGGCAAGUCUGGUGUCAGCCGCCGCGGUAAUACCAGCUCUCCGAGUAGUGUGGACGUUUAUUGGGCCUAAAGCAUCCGUAGCUUGCUAGAUAAGUCCUCUGUUAAAUCCACCGAUUCAAUCGUUGGAUUGCGGGGGAUACUGUUUGGCUAGGGGACGGGAGAGGUCGACGGUAUUUCCGGGGAAGGGGUGAAAUCCUAUAAUCCCGG
rnacentral:rRNA from 1 species